CCCACAGCACUCCUCACUGUGAGCCCUGAGUUGAUAGAGCCAACAGGAAGGGUGAUUAUUUUCUUUACUGGGACGACAGGGAAAGGCUUCCCAGAGAAGGUGACAUUUGAGCUGGCCUCUAAACAAUGAAUGGGAUUUAGCUCCCUUGUGAGGCAGGGAGGGGGGAGAAGGCAGGGCAUGUGACACAGAAGGGAUAGAGCAUGGCAAAGGCAUGGAGGUGUGACAAUGCUUGGCUUGUUUGGGGGUGUCAGGUGACUCAAGGUCGCUGGUGAACAGAAGGAGUGGUAGGGCAGAGGGUGGGGCUUGCAUGCCAGGCUAAAGAGUUUGGGCCUUUUGGGGUUCCUGCAGAGCUGCGCAGUCCCUAGGCAUACUGCCGGAAGUGUGGUCAUGCAAAGAGGGGGUGGGGUAGCCCACAGCGGAGGAAGGAUAGGGGGUGGCCUGUCAGGCCCAAAGGAAACCAGGUAGGUUUCCUGCUCUGGAGCAUGAGCUCAGACCUUGCCAGGCCUGGUGGUCCUGCUGUGCUCCACAGGCCCAGCCUGAAUCAGGGCUCUAGGGCUUGGCUCUCCUCUCCUCUACUCUCUGAGCACCUUCUCUGUGCCAGCACGGCUGCAUGGGGUAUUCCCUUUAUUCCACACACUUUCAAGGUUCCACUUCCCGCCUCUUACCUGAACUGCAAUUACCUGACAUCACCAUGCUGUGAGAAGCCCAAACCAUGUGGGGGAGCCCCGGAGGGCAUGACAUCACUUGGAGAGAGAGGUCAAGAAGUACUGAGACCUUGUCCUGUGAGUGAUGAAGCCAGCCUGGCACAGAAGCAAAGAUAAACCAUCUCGCUGAGCCCUUCUUGAAUUCCUCACCUACAAAAUUAUGAAUAAAAUAAAAUGGUGGUAAGCAUUGA